rnacentral:rRNA from 1 species
GACGAACGCUGGCGGCGUGCUUAACACAUGCAAGUCGAACGGAAAGGCCCUGCUUUUGUGGGGUGCUCGAGUGGCGAACGGGUGAGUAACACGUGAGUAACCUGCCCUUGACUUUGGGAUAACUUCAGGAAACUGGGGCUAAUACCGGAUAGGAGCUCCUUCUGCAUGGUGGGGGUUGGAAAGUUUCGGCGGUUGGGGAUGGACUCGCGGCUUAUCAGCUUGUUGGUGGGGUAGUGGCUUACCAAGGCUUUGACGGGUAGCCGGCCUGAGAGGAUGACCGGCCACAUUGGGACUGAGAUACGGCCCAGACUCCUACGGGAGGCAGCAGUGGGGAAUAUUGCACAAUGGGCGGAAGCCUGAUGCAGCAACGCCGCGUGCGGGAUGACGGCCUUCGGGUUGUAAACCGCUUUCGCCUGUGACGAAGCGUGAGUGACGGUAAUGGGUAAAGAAGCACCGGCUAACUACGUG